CAGCCGCCGCGGGAAUACGGAGGGUGCAAGCGUUAAUCGGAAUUACUGGGCGUAAAGCGCACGCAGGCGGUUUGUUAAGUCAGAUGUGAAAUCCCCGAGCUUAACUUGGGAACUGCAUUUGAAACUGGCAAGCUAGAGUCUUGUAGAGGGGGGUAGAAUUCCAGGUGUAGCGGUGAAAUGCGUAGAGAUCUGGAGGAAUACCGGUGGCGAAGGCGGCCCCCUGGACAAAGACUGACGCUCAGGUGCGAAAGCGUGGGGAGCAAACAGGAUUAGAGACCCGCGUAGUCCCUGUCUCUUAUAC
rnacentral:rRNA from 1 species